rnacentral:rRNA from 1 species
AGAGUUUGAUCCUGGCUCAGAUUGAACGCUGGCGGCAUGCCUUACACAUGCAAGUCGAACGGGCUUUGGGGCUUGCUCCAAAGUUAGUGGCGAACGGGUGAGUAAUAUAUCGGAACGUGCCCUGGAGUGGGGGAUAACUAGUCGAAAGAUUAGCUAAUACCGCAUACGAUCCAAGGAUGAAAGUGGGGGACCGCAAGGCCUCACGCUCCUGGAGCGGCCGAUAUCUGAUUAGCUAGUUGGUGGGGUAAAGGCCCACCAAGGCAUCGAUCAGUAGCUGGUCUGAGAGGACGAUCAGCCACACUAGGACUGAGACACGGCCCAGACUCCUACGGGAGGUAGCAGUGGGGAAUUUUGGACAAUGGGGGAAACCCUGAUCCAGCAAUGCCGCGUGAGUGAAGAAGGCCUUCGGGUUGUAAAGCUCUUUUGUCAGGGAAGAAAAGGCUCGGGCUAAUAUCCUGGGUGAAUGACGGUACCUGAAGAAUAAGCACCGGCUAACUACGUGCCAGCAGCCGCGGUAAUACGUAGGGUGCGAGCGUUAAUCGGAAUUACUGGGCGUAAAGGGUGCGCAGGCGGUUGUGCAAGACAGAUGUGAAAUCCCCGGGCUUAACCUGGGAAUUGCAUUUGUGACUGCACGGCUAGAGUGUGUCAGAGGGGGGUAGAAUUCCACGUGUAGCAGUGAAAUGCGUAGAGAUGUGGAGGAAUACCGAUGGCGAAGGCAGCCCCCUGGGAUAACACUGACGCUCAUGCACGAAAGCGUGGGGAGCAAACAGGAUUAGAUACCCUGGUAG